AUUAUAACCAAAGCCUGCUAAAUGUUCACUCCUUAUUGGACAACUUGUUUCCUCUUUCAAGUUAGACGAAUCAGAAAUUCAACAAGAAAGCUUCAAAGGACCGAUUAGUAGUAAGGGCGAAAUUGCAUUUGACCAGAAAUCAAAACAUGCCCUAGGUCCUAGGGGGAAGAAUGUGGUUUUAGACGACUAUGAUACCCCAAGAGUGGUUAAUGAUGGAGUCACGAUUGGUCAAGACAUAGAGCUAGCUGAUGCCAUGGAAAAAGCAGGCGCCACCCUUAUUAGAGAGGUUGGUUAUUUGCUUCCCUGAAGAUCAUUGAAUCUAUCCUGAAUCUGAUUAAUUGCUCUAAGUACAGACAGCAAUUGUCAUAUUUAUCCUACUCCUUGAUUUGUGUACUGGAACUUCGGAAUUUAUGGUGAAGGUUGCAAGCCUAACCAACGAUUCUGCUGGUGACGGGACAACAACUGUAUCAGCUCUUACCCAGGAAAUCAUUAAACUUGGUCUUUAAGUGUUACAUCUGGUGCAAAUCCAGUCUCUCUGAAGAAGGACAUGGACAAAACUGUAAAUGCUUUGAUUGCAAUGCUGAAAAGGAGGGCUAGGCCUGUUAAAGGUCGUGAUGACAUCAAAGAUUGACAAGGGAUAUAUCUCCCCCACAAUUCAUGACCAACCAGGAGAAAGUAGUUGUUGAAUUUGAGACUGGUAAAGUGUUGUUUACAGAUCACGAGAUAUCAGCAAUCAAGGAUAUUAUGCCCCUCUUGGAGAAGGCAACUCAAUUACGAGCCACUCUGCUCAUUAUCGCUGGAGACGUAACUGGAGAAGCUUUGGCUACUCUUAUUGUGAAAAAGCUGCAAGGUAUACUGAAUGUUGCUGCCACCAGAGCACUUGGUUUUGGUCAAAGGAGGAAGGCUCUUCUCCAAGAUAUUGCCAUUGUAACAUGUGGCUGAACUUGCCUGGCCUAAUUGUACCACUUCCCACAAAGUGAUAAUAGUAGAUUGGUUAGAGUAAAACUAGUUUUGAAGCUCUGUGG